rnacentral:lncRNA from 1 species
UUUCUAAUUUUAAUAUGUUUACAUAUUUCAGCAACGCAUGCAAGUACAAGCCCUUCCGAGUCUCAAACAGCAGAACCCACAACAGCCUUUGCCACAGCACACUCUCCAACAACUGAAACUCAAACAGUCACAAAACAUUCAAGUGAGUAACCAUUAUUAUCUUAGCACAGUGGCAAAAUAUGACACUAUAUGAUAAUGAUUUUGUGCAAAACGCUCAUUUUUUUCAUUUUUGUGGAGCUUAAAUUUAAGCUUCUAUUUUUAAACACCUCUAAAUAUUUCAGCACCACCUGCAAGUACAAGCCCUUCUACAACUCAAACAGCAGAGCCUACAAGUAAGUAAUAAACAUGUACAGCUGUCUGAAUCCUGUUGUGUUUAUAUUUUAUUUGAUAAAUUGUUUCUAAUACACUACAUUUAAAUGUUCAGCACCUCCUGUCAGUACAAGUUCUUCUACAACUGAGUCUCAAACAGCAGAACUCACAAGUAAGUCAUGUAUAUGUACUAAACAAUUUCAUGCUUAGAUUUCACAUAUAUCUAAAUCUUAU